GAACAUUCUCACACUUCAUAUUCUUCUACACACACACACACCUUACAGUGUUCAUAUAAAUCUACACACACACACACAAACACACACACACACACACACCUUACAGUCUUCAUAUUCAUCUACACACACACACACACACACCUUACAGUCUUCAUAUUCAUCUACACACACACACACACACACGCACACCUUACAGUCUUCAUUUUCAUCUACACACACACACACACACACCUUACAGUCUUCAUAUUCAUCUACACACACACACACCUUACAGUCUUCAUAUUCAUCUACACAGACACACACACACACACACACCUUACAGUCUUCAUAUUCAUCUACACACACACACACACACACACACAAUUCUUACAGUCUUCAUAUUUAUCUACACACACACACACACAAUCCUUACAGUCUUCAUAUUCAUCUACACACACACACACCUUACAGUCUUCAUAUCCAUCUACACACACACACACACACUCCUUACAGUCUUCAUAUUCAUCUACACACACACACACACACACACAAACACUUCUUACAGUCUUCAUAUCCAUCUACACACACACACACACACACACACACACCUUACAGUCUUCAUAUCCAUCUACACACACACACUCCUUACAGUCUUCAUACCCAUCUACACACACACACACACACACACCUUACAGUCUUCAUAUUCAUCUACACACACACACACACAUACUCACCUUACAGUCUUCAUAUCCAUCUACACACACACACACACCUUACAGUCUUCAUAUUCAUCUCUCUCACACACACACACACACACACACACCUUAGUCUUCAUAUUCAUCUACACACACACACACACACCUUACAGUCUUCAUAUCCAUCUACACACACACACACACACACACACCUUACAGUCUUCAUAUCCAUCUACACACACACACACACACACACACAUACUCACCUUACAGUCUUCAUAUCCAUCUACACACACACACACUCACCUUACAGUCUUCAUAUUCAUUUACACACACACACACACACCUUACAGUCUUCAUAUUCAUCUACACACACACACACACACACCUUACAGUCUUCAUAUUCAUCUACACACACACACACACUCCUUACAGUCUUCAUAUUCAUCCACACACACACACACACACUCACCUUACAGUCUUCAUAUUCAUCUACACACACACACACACACACACACACACCUUACAGUCUUCAUAUUCAUCCACACACACACACACACACACUCACCUUACAGUCUUCAUAUUCAUCUACACACACACACACACACACCUUACAGUCUUCAUAUUCAUCUACACACACACACUCCUUACAGUCUUCAUAUUCAUCUACACACACACACACACACACACUCCUUACAGUCUUCAUAUCCAUCUACACACACACACACACACACAUACCUUGCAGUCUUCAUAUUCAUCUUAAUUUACACUAAAACAUUAUAAUAUAUGAGUGAGCAUGGUUUUAUUUGGAAACAGCCAGCCUUUACACACACACACACACACAGAGGGAGAGUUGGUUGGUCACACUCACACACACACACAGAGUGAGAGUUG
ensembl:lncRNA